rnacentral:rRNA from 1 species
GGGGAAUCUUGCACAAUGGGGGAAACCCUGAUGCAGCGACGCCGCGUGAGCGAUGAAGCCCUUCGGGGUGUAAAGCUCUUUCGACGGGAACGAUAAUGACGGUACCCGGAGAAGAAGCUGCGGCUAACUACGUGCCAGCAGUCGCGGUAAUACGUAGGCAGCAAGCGUUGUUCGGAGUUACUGGGCGUAAAGAGUGCGUAGGCGGUUCCGUAAGUUUGUUGUGAAAUCUCCCGGCUUAACUGGGAGGGUGCGGCGAAAACUGCGGGGCUGGAGUAUGGGAGAGGUAAGCGGAAUUCCUGGUGUAGCGGUGAAAUGCGUAGAUAUCAGGAGGAACACCGGCGGUGUAGACGGCUUACUGGACCAUGACUGACGCUGAGGCACGAAAGCGUGGGGAGCAAAC